GAUGAACGCUGGCGGCGUGCCUAACACAUGCAAGUCGAGCGAUAAGAUUAGGAACGAGACUUCGGUUGAGUGAAUAAUCGGAAAGCGGCGGACGGGUGAGUAACGCGUGGGUAACCUGCCCUGUACAGAGGAAUAGCCAUUGGAAACGAUGAUUAAUGCCUCAUAAGACCACAGCAUCACCUGAUGCAGUGGUAAAAACUCCGGUGGUACAGGAUGGACCCGCGUUAGAUUAGCUAGUUGGUGAGGUAACGGCUCACCAAGGCAACGAUCUAUAGCCGACCUGAGAGGGUGAUCGGCCACACUGGAACUGAGACACGGUCCAGACUCCUACGGGAGGCAGCAGUGGGGAAUAUUGCACAAUGGGCGAAAGCCUGAUGCAGCAACGCCGCGUGAGUGAUGAAGGCCUUCGGUCGUAAACUACUUUUACUUGGGUAAGAAGUAAUAGACGGUACCCGAACGGAA
rnacentral:rRNA from 1 species